UAAGGAUGAAAUUGCAGGAACUGAGGUUUUAUAAGCAGCCAAACAGUGUGUGCAUUCAGAAAAAGAUAUUUUUCUAAGGUGAUCUACACCUCAGAGCACUUCCUCCCACUGGGCAGUGGACCACUCGAGCAGCGGUUCUCAACACCUGAACCCCAGACUCAUAGCAGCAGCAGCAGCUAGGAACAGGCUUUUGUGGAGAGACUGAGAAAAUCACCUCCUGGAGAAAUGAAGGCUGAAAGCCCUGGCAAAAAAGGAGACGGUUCUCUAGAGACAGGCAGGAAAAAGUUUCAGGAGGAGACAUGUCAGGUGCUGAUGCCAGAAGCAAAGGUACCAGUGUUGAUGGCACCUUCUUCCAGAUCAUAAAGGGCUUCUCCUUGGGUUCAAGCUUUCUGCAAAUGGCAGCAGCUGGGCAGGCUGCUAAGCAUAGAGGAGAGUUGCCCUCACCUGAUCCUGAGAACCAAGACUAAGUAAUGCAUCCUGGGAAGGCCCAGGCCAAACAGAGGCCCUGUGGUGGGUUGCUCCAAGGGAAACCCAGGAACGGAGAAGGAAGGAGGAAGUUUGGGAAGCAGAC
rnacentral:lncRNA from 1 species